rnacentral:misc_RNA from 1 species
GUCGAGACUAUAGGAAAUUCAUUCAUUAAAAAUAGAGGUACAACAUUUCAAUACUCUAGGCCUCAAAGCUCUCUUAGUCAAAGACCCCAAUGACUCUGUUCAGCCAAGCCCAAAGAAAAAGAAGUUUAAGCCUAUCAAUUAAAACAGAAUAAGGCUCAGUCCCAAACAAAUUGGCGAAAGCCUAACCAGAAAACCUAAUAGGAAGACUAGUCUCCCCAAAUCCGGUAACCCAUCUUCAACGACCAAACCACAGUCACCUAUAGUGAAGAACACUAGCUACCAGUGUGGAGACCAUGGAUCAUUCAGCUGCAUUAGGUUAAUGGGAAACUCAACCAAAACAAGCAGCAUGCAACCACUCGACAUGAAGGAUGGAGUCCCCAGAGCAUCAAACCUAGAAGCAGAGAAAGUAGGAAGAGAUCAUUUUCGACGAAGGGAUCAUUGAACUAAAGGAGUUGCCAGAUGAAUCGGGAACAGGAGUGGUAGAGCUCCAGCAUCUUAGUCUCUUCUAGCUAGGAUGACUUGUGUCCUUUGAGAGUACCAACCAACAGGACAAGCCAUGAAGAGAAUUAAUGUGGAUUCAUAUCACAGAUUUUCAAGAAAAUCCCUCGCAGAGACAAGCACAAGAAACUGAUAUGCAACAAACCCAACACAAACAAAACUAUACUUCACCAAACCGGAAGGGAGAGAGGGAUAAUCCACCCAUGUGGAUGAGAAAAACCCAUCCCGUGCCCCUAAGGGCAGAGGAUGGCCACAGAUAUGACUGAGGGAAGGUUACUGAUAAAGAGAGAAAAAUGUUUUCUCACUGAGAAGGAAGAAUAAGCUCCCAUUAACCCUCGAUUCUCAAUUUCUCGCUUCUUCAGCCUAAAUAGGUGGCAUCAUUUGGUUGAUGGGACAUUGCGUUGC